GACGAACGCUGGCGGCGUGCUUAACACAUGCAAGUCGAACGGAAAGGCCCUGCUUUUGUGGGGUGCUCGAGUGGCGAACGGGUGAGUAACACGUGAGUAACCUGCCCUUGACUUUGGGAUAACUUCAGGAAACUGGGGCUAAUACCGGAUAGGAGCUCCUGCUGCAUGGUGGGGGUUGGAAAGUUUCGGCGGUUGGGGAUGGACUCGCGGCUUAUCAGCUUGUUGGUGGGGUAGUGGCUUACCAAGGCUUUGACGGGUAGCCGGCCUGAGAGGGUGACCGGCCACAUUGGGACUGAGAUACGGCCCAGACUCCUACGGGAGGCAGCAGUGGGGAAUAUUGCACAAUGGGCGGAAGCCUGAUGCAGCAACGCCGCGUGCGGGAUGACGGCCUUCGGGUUGUAAACCGCUUUCGCCUGUGACGAAGCGUGAGUGACGGUAAUGGGUAAAGAAGCACCGGCUAACUACGUGCCAGCAGCCGCGGUGAUACGUAGGGUGCGAGCGUUGUCCGGAUUUAUUGGGCGUAAAGGGCUCGUGGGUGGUUGAUCGCGUCGGAAGUGUAAUCUUGGGGCUUAACCCUGAGCGUGCUUUCGAUACGGGUUGACUUGAGGAAGGUAGGGGAGAAUGGAAUUCCUGGUGGAGCGGUGGAAUGCGCAGAUAUCAGGAGGAACACCAGUGGCGAAGGCGGUUCUCUGGGCCUUUCCUGACGCUGAGGAGCGAAAGCGUGGGGAGCGAACAGGCUUAGAUACCCUGGUAGUCCACGCUGUAAACGGUGGGUACUAGGUGUGGGGUCCAUUCCACGGGUUCCGUGCCGUAGCUAACGCUUUAAGUACCCCGCCUGGGGAGUACGGCCGCAAGGCUAAAACUCAAAGGAAUUGACGGGGCCCCGCACAAGCGGCGGAGCAUGCGGAUUAAUUCGAUGCAACGCGUAGAACCUUACCUGGGUUUGACAUGGAUCGGGAGUGCUCAGAGAUGGGUGUGCCUCUUUUGGGGUCGGUUCACAGGUGGUGCAUGGCUGUCGUCAGCUCGUGUCGUGAGAUGUUGGGUUAAGUCCCGCAACGAGCGCAACCCUUGUUCACUGUUGCCAGCACGUUAUGGUGGGGACUCAGUGGAGACCGCCGGGGUCAACUCGGAGGAAGGUGGGGAUGGCGUCAAGUCAUCAUGCCCCUUAUGUCCAGGGCUUCACGCAUGCUACAAUGGCUGGUACAGAGAGUGGCGAGCCUGUGAGGGUGAGCGAAUCUCGGAAAGCCGGUCUCAGUUCGGAUUGGGGUCUGCAACUCGACCUCAUGAAGUCGGAGUCGCUAGUAAUCGCAGAUCAGCAACGCUGCGGUGAAUACGUUCCCGGG
rnacentral:rRNA from 1 species